rnacentral:rRNA from 1 species
GAAAACUUCUCCCUGGGAGAAAUCCCGAUGAGGGAAUUCCAAGUGCUAGCACUAUGUGUUAGCUGUUCUUUUGUCUAAAAAACAGAAGAAGUAAGGGCCGGGUAAGACGGGUGCCAGCCGCCGCGGUAAUACCCGCGGCCCGAGUGGUGGUCGAUAUUAUUGAGCCUAAAACGUCCGUAGCCGGUCUUGUAAAUCCUUGGGUAAAUCGGCCAGUUUAACUGUCCGAAGUCCGGGGAGACUGCAAGACUUGGGAUCGGGAGAGGUCAGAGGUACUUCUGGGGUAGGGGUAAAAUCCUGUAAUCCUGGAAGGACCACCGGUGGCGAAGGCGUCUGACUAGAACGAAUUCGACGGUGAGGGACGAAGCCCUGGGGCGCAAACGGGAUUAGAUACCCCGGUAGUCCAGGGUGUAAACGCUGCGGGCUUGGUGUUGGGGGUCCUUUGUGGGCGCCCAGUGCCGGAGAGAAGUUGUUAAGCCUGCUGCUUGGGGAGUACGUCCGCAAGGAUGAAACUUAAAGGAAUUGGCGGGGGAGCAC